GGGAUUAUUAUUAGUUAAUUAGACCAUAUUUUUAACAGUAAGAAAAAAAGUAAUUCCAGUUAGGACAAGAUAUCUUCUGAAUUUGAAAAAGGUAGAAAAAAUGAAAUUUAUGUUAAAUACUUAAUUGGCUUUCAUAGGAAUAACCCGUUAGUUAAAAACACGUUAUCUUGCCCUUGAGCAAGACAAACUAGUACAAGCCAGUUUUUAAUCACUCUGCCACUUAUAGCUAACUAUUUAAUUGGCUACAGACAUCGUUCUAAAUCGUUUUACAAGAUUUGCCGAGACUUAAUUACGGCAUUCUUACUUUAUUUAUUAUAAACGAUAUCCACGUAAAAGCUAAACCCUAAAGGCAUAACAGGCGUCUCGACUAUUGUAUAUAAACGGACAAUAAUUCUUUAAAUUAACUCACUGGUUUUGCUCUUGAUCUAUAUUCUGCUCUGUGUUGUCAAUACAAGAAUUAUAAGGAUUGCUUUAAGAUAACAAGCAUCCUAUAAAUUUGGUGCCCUGAACAACUGAAUGCAACCUUCUUGAGAGGAACAGAUCAACGGAGGAACACAACCAGCAACGACGACAGAUCAAUGCACGGAAUCUCAAAAAAAAAAAUAGAGGAACACAAGAUAAGUUCACGUUAAUAUUAUAUCCUAUAAGUCGCAUAUACGGGUCCAUGCUAAUCUAAUAGAUCUCCUAUCUUUCAACAGUUAACGACAUUUUACGAUUAUCGACGAAAAAACAACUCUACGACAUCGACACGAGGAUCCGGAUCAGCGACUAUUGACGCGAAGAAGACGAAAUCGCCUAAGGAUAUUUCUACGGACAUUCUGUAUUUCAUUCAAUUUACUGCAUAUUAAUUUUGGCCUGAACCGCCAACAACAACGCGUUCCGGCAGAACGACACGCCACAACCGCCAGCAUGAUUACGCUUAUUAUUAGUUUUCUCGUAAAUGUAUGUAUAUAUUCUUAUGCUUUUCCUUUUAACUCCCCUAGCCCAACAGUGUCAGUGAAUUUUUGUGAUCCAAAAGUACCCGUAGCAGAGUAUGCCAUACCGGAACCACCAAA